AACUGUUGGCAAGCAACAGACUUAUUUACAACUAUGGCUACACCUCCGGACAAGGCAGAAGCGUUGUCACGAUCUUUACGGAAAAUGGCAUAUUGCUUGAGAAAGUUGGACUGCGUAGGUUUUAAGUGUGUUUCUUGGACACACAGCACCUUCGGAUUAAAUUUAUGUAUGAGUUCUGUGAUGUCGUCGAGGUUACGAAGUAGUCCUCUGACGUUCCACUGUAGUAUCUGUGUGGCCAUGUUGCAAACGAAGUUUGUGCUGUGUGUCUCGUGUAAAAACACUAACUUAACUUACAGAGCCCUUGUCGGGCCCUGUGAUGCGGGCUUUUUCUUUUUUGGAGCGGUCGAGAGAUUCUCGCCGCUCCUUUGGCGCUGGCUGCGCCGUCUGGCUGGAAAAUGUGUCCAUCGGCUCUUGCGGAGCGCUGGACACCCGCUCUUGAGAGCGGUUUGUUCGCAGUGAAGGCCUCGUCUCGAGAGACAAGACCUUGGAGGCCACCAGCCCAGAGGUGGAUGGCCCCUUCUGCUGGGGUGGCGGAGCAGUGCUAGCUGCAGUCGCCGAGGGGGCAGAUGGCUUCACCGCCGGCUCACUACGCAUGGGCCGGACAGCAGCCGGAAGCCGCUGCGACGCUGCCCCCUGACGCGUCACAUCGGCAAAGCUGGUUUUAGACAGGUUUGGCGGCCUCGGCAGUUCUGCGAACUAUGGCCGAACCGCUGGCAUUUGAAACAUCGAAGGGGAUUUGGCACGUAUGGCCUAACACGAAGCUUGAUGUACCCGGCCUCGAUGGACUCGGGCAGGACACUUGAGUUGAAAGUAAGUAUUAGGUGCUUAGUCUUGAUUUCUUUCCCGUCGCGCCUCAUCUUAAUUCUUUUAACGUUUAUUACAUUCUGCUCACUGAAGCCCUCCAAGAGUUCAGCCUCGGUUAGCUCCAUUAAAUCAUCAUCUGAAACAACGCCGCACGUGGUGUUGUUCAUAGUACGGUGUGGUGUCAGCGUUAUUGGGAUGUCCCCAAAUGACACUAAUUUCGGCAGUUUUUCGUAUUGUAUCUGAUCGCGGAGCUCUAGAAGCAGAUCACCGCUUGCCAUUUUUGAUGCUUUGUAACCUCGGCCAAGAACUUCAGUCAGAGACUUCGAGACAAGGAAGGGUGAGAUCAUUUUCACUGUCUUUUCAGGCUUAUCAGAAUGGAUGACGUGAAAUCGUGGAAAGUUUUGUGCUCUGUUGCCAAAAAAUUGAAAUACAUCUUCGGUGCACCCUCGUUUUUGAGGGCGAUCAGGGAGUUUAGGGAAGGCACUGUCCAUGAGUAUAGCUGGGAUUUUCGGCAGCGAUGCCAACCACCCACCAAGGAGCCCAACGCGGGGACGUGACAGGAGUUCCUGUAAUCGGAAUCCUGCCAACGCCAGUUGUACAUCACUGCUAUAACCAAAUACAGCAUAACCAAGACUGGCUGGCCACACAAGGUUAACCCUUGCCGCCCAGAAAUUUGGAAGUGAAGAGAAGAUAAUAGGAGACAGGAAAGAAGAGACAGUGAAAGAGAAAGAAAAAGUGUUGAGAGGGGGACAGGAAAAGGCGACUGCCGAUUUCCUCCAGGUGGGUCAGUCUGGAGGUGCCGUCUAUGUGAAGCAGAGGCCGAAGAGGUGUGUUGCCUCCACCGGGGGGCCUUAAAGGUCCUAACACCCGGCAUCGGCUCAACCUCCAGGAUCCCCCUUUCCCCAGACACGGCAAGCCGCGCACGGCUACACGCGGGAGGGUCCAACCCCCAUGUGCUCGGGUCCGUGGUGUCGC